rnacentral:rRNA from 1 species
CCUACGGGAGGCAGCAGUGGGGAAUAUUGCACAAUGGGGGAAACCCUGAUGCAGCGACGCCGCGUGAGUGAAGAAGUAUCUCGGUACGUAAAGCUCUAUCAGCAGGGCAGAAAAUGACGGUACCUGACUAAGAAGCACAGGCUAACUACGUGCCAGCAGCCGCGGUAAUACGUCGGGGGCAAGCGUUAUCCGGAUUUACUGGGUGUAAAGGGGGCGUAGACGGGAGCACAAGUCUGGAGUGAAAUCCCGGGGCUUAACCCCGGAACUGCUUUGGAAACUGUGCGGCUGGAGUGCAGGAAGGGUAAGCGUAAUUCCUAGUGUAGCGGUGAAAUGCGUAGAUAUUAGGAGGAACACCGGUGGCGAACGCGGCUUACUGGACUGUAACUGACGUUGAGGCUCGAAAGCGUGGGGAGCAAACAGGAGUAGAUACCCCGGUAGUC